UUAAUUUUUAAUUUGGUCAAAAUUUAAAUAAAUAAGCUAAAUCCUAGUUGAAAUCAUUUCUUAAGUAAUCUUGAAAAUUCUCAACCAAAUUGUAACUCCUUUUUAAUUUUGGGCUGCUGGGAGCCCACUUAAUAACAACAACACCUAACAACAGCCCAUUUUAGAAAACCAAUAACCCUAUACCCCAGCCAGCCCAAUUCCCUUAAACUGGCCCAAUUUUCUUUCUCCUUUUCCCCUUAACUAGCAACAACAAACAGAGUGUAACAGCAACAGCAAAAUAGCGUUAUCAUCAACAACAUUCGACAACAACAAGCAAACCAUGACCAACCGACCCGGCAAAGACCCGACCUGACAAAAACCCAUUCCAACUCCAACAACUUUAGCGUCAAACGACGUACACUAGAAACGAACCCUAGCCGCCCCCACUAUUACGGUUUCACCCCCGUGAUUCAGCCAUUUAUGGCCAAAUUUAGAAGCUUUCAUUUUUUCCAGUUUGUGGUUCACUAAUUCAGGUAAAAAAUUAAUAUAUCCCAUGACCAACACUACCAACGGCUCUUUUCCUCACCUUGUCCACUGAUCUUGAGGACAAAGACCAUUAAUGAUUUUUGUCCUAUUGUGGAACUCAAAUUUCUCAAAAUCAGCUCAAAUUUGGAUUUAAAAUCCAUUGAAUUCAAAUCCAAAACCCUAGUGGACUCUCCCUCCCCCCCCAUAUUUUUUUCUAUAAAUAGGUGAUGGGGGGUAAAAGAGAAAUAAGGGAUUUUGGGGGAAAAUUGGGGGUUCUGAAAGCACUUGCCUUUAAUUUCACAUAACCUAAAUUCUCACAAACACACUGCAAAAAUAGAGUUCCGGCAAAACUGUUGAACUCUGGCAAGGCUAAUCGGCAUUCCGAUGGUGAAAGUCCGCUUGUCUAAGGCUCGUUGUCCUAGUUGCUGCCCGAAAAUAGGUGAAGGCUUCACCUUUUACAUUAUUUAUUUGUGUUUAUUUGUUAUAACAAAAUUUGAAUACCGCUAUCGUGAGGCUUGUUGAUUCGUUGAUGUUGGAAGUUAUUUGGUUGUCUGGUUGAUUUGGUGUGGCGUCACAGUUGAAAAUUUGAAUCUGACUUCACGAACCCUGAUUGUGUUUUCUUGUGGCGUUAAGUUUGGGAAUCUUUAAACAUUUUAUUCUGCUUCCGGUAUGACUUGAAUACAUAAAGGAUUUCAUUAUUUCUUACUAUUCAAUUUGUGGUAGAAACCAACACCUAUAAAAUAUCUAUGAUUUCAAUUUAUUGAAUAUACAGUACAUGGAUGAUUUUGUUAAACUUGUGUGUAAGAGCCUCGACUGUUUUUCUCUCGGCCUCCUGAAACAUGUAGUUGGGUGAUUUUCAACCGUUAUUGUUUGGUUUAGUGUUUGAAUUAUUGUUGUAGUUUUACACGUCUAAGAGUUUAGUGUUAUGGUUAGUUUAGUAUUAUGGUUAAAAUAGUAGUUUGAAUAAUUGGUGCUAUGAUUUGGAUAAGCAUUGAGCUAAAUUCCCCAAAUUUUGAAUUUACAGCAUAAUUUGUAAAAAAGGAGCUUAAGGUCAAGAUUAGUUUCAUUGUGGCUACAGGUCACUUGGCCUAAGAAUUUUGUUUUUUUAUGCCUUUAGGCAAAGUGAUCCAUAUGUGGAGAGUAGAACUUUGUUAUUCCGCGUCUUUUUUUUUUUUUCAACUACUGCACGUCUCUUUCUCUUUUCCUUCCUUGUGACCUUGGAUAUGUGAAACCAAGGUCAUGUUUGGACCUUGGUUAAGGAUCAAUAUGGCAGUCUCUUAAAAGGAAAAAUUACCUAAAAUCACAACAUAACUAUCUAAACUUCUUAAAAUUCCCCCACUUCUUAAAAAUUACUUAAAUCUCAACAUUUCAUAUUUUUACUACCUUUCAGAUACAAGUUAACUUACAAUUAAAAAACCCCUUUUUACCAAAAAAAUACUCCACAUCUCCUCUUUGAACGACGCAAAUUCGGUGCACAAUCUGACCAUUUUCUAUCAUGUUCUCCAUCUGUUUCAAAAAAUUCAAUCAAGGUAACCCCGCCCCCCCAUAAAUCAUCUUCAAUUUAUUUAAUUCAUUUUUUACAUUUUUAUUUUUCAAAAAAUAAUUUGCCGCAACUAAAGCUAUCUGACAGUUCUGUCUUUUCGUAGUUAGAUUUCUUUAAUUUCACUUUUUUAUGCUUCAUUGUUUGAAUUAUCAGCAUGAAUAGAGAGUUUGGAUCUUCUAUUAGUCUUGGAGUUUCUCAAUUACAAAAUAUCAAAGAAUCUCAAGAAGUUGUAAACUUCGUUUCGGAAGGUUUUGACUCUGAAAUUGAUGGUUUUCAUAAAAAUAUGUUAAAACAUAGAAACGAUCCUCAAAUGAUGAAGAAAUUACGUCAAAAGCUUGCUAAGAAGGACAAGAAAAAAGAAAGUGGUUCUAAGAAAAGAGGACCCAAUAGUCCUGCAAGUAAAGCUCCCGUCAAGAAAAGAAGAACUAUCGAAGAAAUUUGCCGAGAUGCGCUUCCUAAGGUAAUUGCAUGUACAAAUUUGUUCAAUGAUAGACCGAGAUACAUAUUUUGUGAUGGAUGAUACGUCUGAAAAAAUCAAUUUUUAUCUGAUUGUUUGUUGCUAAUAAUUUAUAUGUAUCUUGUGAUUUAUUUUGAUAUUGUAACUAAUAUAACAAAAGAUACAAGUUUCUUGUCAUUAGAUACAUGUUAUGUUAUCUUGUGUCUGUGUGUUAUUGUUAAUGCUUUGAUAUGUAUCUAUUGGUGUAUAAACUUGACUGAAAAUUAUAUUAUAAGAGAUACAAGUUAUGACUUCAUAGAUACGUGUAAUGUUACCUUGUAUCUGGUACAACUGUUAACAAAAGAUACAAGUUUUUUAAUAGAUACAUGUUAUGUUGACUUGUAUCUUUGAGUUGUUCUUAAUGCUUUGAUAAGUAUCUAUUUAUGUUUAAAUUUACUGAAAGUUAUAUUGUAAGAGAUACAAGUUAUUACUUAAUAGAUACAUGUUGUAUUAACUUGUAUCUGUACUUACUGUUAAUUUAUUGAAAUGUAUCUAGUGUUGUUUAAUUGUUAUUGAAAGUCAUAUAACAAAACAUACAAGUUAAUACCUACAUACAUACAUGUUGUAUUAACUUGUAUCUAAAGUAUGCUGUUAUUAGAGUAUUUACUUUUAUUGUACUGUCUUAAUGUAGAGUUGUUGCGUAUCGAUUAAUUUUUUCAUUAUUGUUUCUUUUUGGUUUUAGAAAUUGAGUUAUGUCAUAAAAGAAAUUCUAACUCAUCCUCUUAGAUUUGUAAGUUCAUGCAAUUUAAGAUUUAAGGAUGAAAUUAAAGAAGUUGUACACUUAGUUAAGAAGACUAUUUUUGGAUGUUAUCUAAACAUACCUCUUUCUAAUUAUAUUGGACAAAUAAUAAAAUGUCUUCUUAUGCUCGAGAUCGAGCAACCAAAUCAAGAAGAGAUACAUGUCUUUGUCAAAGUCUAGAUUCUUAGAUUUUCCAUCAAUGAAUUUGCUUUGAUAAUUGGCUUAAAAUAUUUUGGUAAUGUUGAUGAUUUCAAAUAUGAAGAUUCUUCUACGAGUAGGCUUAUGAAAAGAUAUUUUUCAUGUUCAGGUAUUGAUGCUCAAUACCAUCGUUUGAGAUAUGUCACUCUUUUGUGCAAUUAUGGGUCUGAAAAAAUAGAGAACGGAUAUUUUAGUGAGAAUGAUAAUCCACCAAGGUAACGGAGCAAGUUCGCACCAAAAGAAACAGAUCGCGUUUUGUAUAUUAAGUAGUUUUUUAUUUGUUUGUUGGUUGGAUAUUACAAAUACUCUAAAGUUGAUAGAAACUUUUAUGAUUUUUUGACGAGGUUGUUAAUGUUAGGUACUCAUACAUUAUGUUAAAAAUUAAGAUCCAGGAAUAAACUUAGUUGUAUAAAUCCAUGCAUUGUUAGCAACAGGGUUGUCAAGGUGAUCCAAGAGGUUCUCAAGUGGUCCUUUGCCAGUAACAAUAGCAACAGGGUUGUCAAGGCUAGUCUAGUUGCAGCCAAGAAUAGUCUUGGUGCUGGUGAUACUACUGGUCAAUCUGGAAAGCUUGAAGAUUUCCUAUCUUCUCACUAUUAUGAUUCUGAUGAUGCGACAUCUAUGGAUAUAUUUGUGGGCCAUACUCCAGUUAGAUUUUCCAACCACAACAUUGGUGUUGGAGCUAGUAAGGAGGUUAAUGGAGGUGCGUCCUCACUCAGCCACCUUACAAUGGAAUUUGAGCAACGAAAGCAGAAUUUUGACAAUGAAGCCAUGGCAAUUGUUAGCUUGUAGCCAGGGCAGUUACAUUCUACUAAUCCUGCAGAUGAGUAUCGGAGACUGAAACACAGGUUUAAGGAAUGGAAAAAGAGUACAAGGCCCAGUUGAACGAGAUGAAGGCCAAAGAACAUAUGCUUUCUAAAGCAGGAAAGAAUCAUAGAAAAUGGUGGGGGUAAGAAGAGCAAGUGAUUUUAGCUUAAAAUCAUUCUCAUUUUUUUCUUUGGGGUGUUAAACUGUAUAGGUGAGACUAAUUUCCCCAACUAUGGUUGAUAAUCUAGCAAAGUUGGUGGAGAUUGUGGAAAUAGUGUACGCAUGCUCAGUUAUGGAUGUGAUCCCUCAGCUAGAUAGUUUAGAGCUUAAUUGUGAAUAGCUUGUUGUAGCAACAAUGCUAGGUUGUGGAAGUACAUUAGAUAGCUUGCGAUAAAAUGGACUAUGAGUAUUCUCAGUCCUUGUGUUUUUUGUAUUAGCAAAUGUUGUAAUUAGUUAUUGAAAGAUGGUGAUCAAUUGUAGAAAAGUGAUUAAUUGAUUGUUCACCAAUUCCACAAUGAAUGGCAAAAUGUGAUGGUGUUUUCCUUA